GAAAUGCGAUAAGUAAUGUGAAUUGCAGAAUUCAGUGAAUCAUCGAAUCUUUGAACGCACAUUGCGCUCGCCAGCAUUCUGGCGAGCAUGCCUGUUCGAGCGUCAUUUCAACCCUCAAGCACCGCUUGGUUUUGGGGCCCCACGGCACACGUGGGCCCUUAAAGGUAGUGGCGGACCCUCCCGGAGCCUCCUUUGCGUAGUAACUAACGUCUCGCACUGGGAUCCGGAGGGACUCUUGCCGUAAAACCCCCAAAUUUUUUACAGGUUGACCUCGGAUCAGGUAGGAAUACCCGCUGAACUUAA
rnacentral:misc_RNA from 1 species